ensembl:lncRNA
AUGUGCUUUCAAGCAUUGACAGAACCUUUUCUGAAAUCAGAAACUUCUAUGUCUUUAAAAACACAUCAGUAAUGAGCUACAUCUGGUAUGCAAUUAUUGCUGUAAAGUUGAUGACAGGGAGAGUAGUGACUCAUACUCUGCCAUAAAUCUGAGGAAUGUCAAGAAAAUUCAGAGGAGUUCUUCAAAUGGAGAUCAAAAGCAGAAACUUUUUGUAGACUUACGAAGUACCCAGAAACAUGAUGAAAAUGGCUUAUGAGGCAGAG